ACUGAAGAGCCAAGAAGAAUCUGAACAGACAGGACUUGCUGGGUUUAGAUCAUUCCCUUUUUGUCCAAUCACAUUUCAACAUGGUUGUCCAUGCUUCAGUCAUGCCUGUCCAAGAAGUCUUCAUAAAAGGCCCAAGAGGACAGGGUUCAGGGAGUUUUGGAGACCUGAACACAUGGAGGCUGACAGGAAGGUGGGAAGAUCAUCUGAGCCCGGAGAGGUGGAGGCUGCUGUCAGUCAAGAUCAUGCCACUGCUCUCCAGCCUGGAUGACAGAAAAACCCUGUCUCAAAAAAAAAAAAAAAAGUACUUAAACACUAAAGAAAAUUGGAAAAGAGACAACAGCCCACAAAGUUG
rnacentral:lncRNA from 1 species